ensembl:lncRNA
UCACUCUCUCUCUCUUUAAUUAAGUAGCUUUUAAGCAUUUUCCCUGCAGAGAGCCUGCUGCCAGAACAAAGUAGACAUUGUUUUUCCCUCCGAGAUGCCAGGCAGCGAGAGGCUCCUAACGUUACCACAGGCCAACAGUGCAGUCCUCGAGGGGCUUCUGAGUGAGUCGGUGCUAGGAUCGGCCCUAUCUGCAGCGCUGGAUGUCUGUGUGUGGGGAGAUCAUUUAAUGGGAGAAUGAUUGCUGUGUUCACUGCUGACUGUUCAGGGAUGGGGCAGCUGGUGAUGUGGAGAGGCUCCUGUGAUGGCUGAGGACAAUGAAGGAAACUGGAGAGGAAGAGACCCAGCUUCCCACCAAAGCCCAGGCCAGCAGCUAAUGACCCGAGAUGAUACUUCUGAGAUGCCAGUGAUCCUGACCUGAUCCCGAUCCAUCCUGAUGCCUUACUUCUGAUUGGAGUUCUCAUCAAUUGGAAGUCACAUGCUGCUGAGGAUGGCCCCACAUGGUGCAGCAUAAAGAUCAUUGAGAUUGCUGAGGAUGGAACCAUUUAAAAUGAUAAGAUGGCUUUAGACCUCAAUUCAGUUGAACAAUUAUACUAUGAUGACUAGGACUACAAACAGUUUUGCACUCAAUUCUCCAUCAGUGAACAGUGGAAAAGUUAAAAAAAAAAAAUAAAAUGAUUUCAUGUAAAAAAUUAAAUGAAUUUUCCUGGUUACAAAUUGCACUAUUGACCAUGUAGUAUUAGCACAUUUAUAGAAGGGAUUUACUUAUUUAUAAUCGCACUAUCCUUUGUUACCUAAAUGAGGAUGGGUUCCCUUUUGAGUCUCGUUCCUCUGAAGCUUUUUUCCUCAGAUCGUCUGAGGGAGUUUUUCCUUGCCACAGUCACCUCUGGCUUGCUCAUUAGGGAUAAAUUCAUAUAUUUAAAAUCUAGAUCCUGAAUUUAUACAUUACUGUAAAGCUGCAGAAAUAAAUUUAAAACAAAUACAAUAAAAUGGAAUCGAAUUGAAUUAUGAUUUGAUAUAAGAUUUAGUACAGUAGCUACAUUUGCAACUCUUCACAGUAGACAUAAGCCAAUGGGAGGCAACGGGAGGUAAGCAACAUUAGCUGCGUUUACAUGGACAACAAUAAUCCACUCUUGAUCCGAUUAAGACCAUACUCUAAUUAAGAAACUACCAUAUAAACAGCAAUUUUUACUUACCUUAAUCUAAUUAAGGUCAUACUCGAAUUAAGCUCUAAUCAAAUUAAGACAGGUGGAGUACUCCUGUUUUAGUCGCAUUAUGGACGUGUAGUAGUGACAUGAACGUCGUGUGGGAGUUUUCACCGCAUUUUGCGACAGGACAUGAUCACACACGGCCGUUUUACGUUUUAUGGCGAACAAGACAGUUUGGCUGUGUCCCAAAUCGCACACUUUCCUACUAUAGGCCUGUAGUGGGGAAAAAUACAUGCAUCUCGGCUACUAUAUAGACGGUAACUACGCGAUUUGGGACACACCCACCGCUUCAAGCAGGUGUCUAUUAAAACGUAUAGCAUGACAAAUAAUUAACUGCACUUAAAGCGUUCGUAAAAAAAAAUAAAUAAAAACACCCCAAACUGUAUACGAUACCAUAAUGAAGACCAACUGUAUGUUGAUAUGUGAAAUUCUGGAGGGACGUCGGACGGCGUAAUGACAUGUAAAACGGGAACAUGACAGGAGUAUUCUAAAGAGCGACUCAUGUAAACACCUUAAUCACAUUAUUAUCUUAAUCAGAGUAAGGUCAAUAAUUAGAUUACUGCUGUCCAUGUAAACGUAGUCAUUGGUUAGUAAUAGUUCCAGGAGUUAGUUAUAUCAGAAACCCUUUAAAUUAAGGUUUUGGUAAUAAAUUAAUUAUAAGCAAUUGAUACAUAGUUUCCAAAUGAAAUAUUACUGAUCAAUUAAUUAAAUAUUAUUAUGAAAAGUGUAUAAUACAUUUUAUAAUUUUAUUUUAUGCUAUCAGGUUAAUACUUAAAAGUUUUAUAUAAUUACUAAUUAUACCUGCAGACCUUUUAAAU